rnacentral:rRNA from 1 species
GACGAACGCUGGCGGCGUGCCUAAUACAUGCAAGUUGAGCGCUGAAGGUUGGUACUUGUACCAACUGGAUGAGCAGCGAACGGGUGAGUAACGCGUGGGGAAUCUGCCUUUGAGCGGGGGACAACAUUUGGAAACGAAUGCUAAUACCGCAUAAAAACUUUAAACACAAGUUUUAAGUUUGAAAGAUGCAAUUGCAUCACUCAAAGAUGAUCCCGCGUUGUAUUAGCUAGUUGGUGAGGUAAAGGCUCACCAAGGCGAUGAUACAUAGCCGACCUGAGAGGGUGAUCGGCCACAUUGGGACUGAGACACGGCCCAAACUCCUACGGGAGGCAGCAGUAGGGAAUCUUCGGCAAUGGACGAAAGUCUGACCGAGCAACGCCGCGUGAGUGAAGAAGGUUUUCGGAUCGUAAAACUCUGUUGGUAGAGAAGAACGUUGGUGAGAGCGGAAAGCUCAUCAAGUGACGGUAACUACCCAGAAAGGGGCGGCUAACUACGUG